rnacentral:tRNA from 4 species
GGCUUGUUGGUCAAGAGGUCAAGACGUCACCCUCUCACGGUGAAAUCAGGGGUUCGAUUCCCCUACAGGUCACCA